UCUCCGUUGGUGAACCAGCGGAGGGAUCAUUGCUGGAACGCGCCCCAGGCGCACCCAGAAACCCUUUGUGAACUUAUACCUUACUGUUGCCUCGGCGCUAGCUGGUCCUUCGGGGCCCCUCACCCCCGGGUGUUGAGACAGCCCGCCGGCGGCCAACCCAACUCUUGUUUUUACACUGAAACUCUGAGAAUAAAACAUAAAUGAAUCAAAACUUUCAACAACGGAUCUCUUGGUUCUGGCAUCGAUGAAGAACGCAGCGAAAUGCGAUAAGUAAUGUGAAUUGCAGAAUUCAGUGAAUCAUCGAAUCUUUGAACGCACAUUGCGCCCUCUGGUAUUCCGGAGGGCAUGCCUGUUCGAGCGUCAUUUCAACCCUCAAGCCUGGCUUGGUGAUGGGGCACUGCUUCUUACCCAAGGAGCAGGCCCUGAAAUUCAGUGGCGAGCUCGCCAGGACCCCGAGCGCAGUAGUUAAACCCUCGCUCUGGAAGGCCCUGGCGGUGCCCUGCCGUUAAACCCCCAACUUCUGAAAAUUUGACCUCGGAUCAGGUAGGAAUACCCGCUGAACUUAA
rnacentral:rRNA from 2 species